rnacentral:rRNA from 1 species
CGGACUGUGGUCUGCAGCCCGACCACACGAAGCUGGAAUCGCUAGUAAUCGCGAAUCAGAAUGUCGCGGUGAAUACGUUCUCGGGUCUUGUACACACCGCCCGUCACACCAUGGGAGUCAGCAACGCCCGAAGUCAGUGACCUAACCGAAAGGGAGGAGCUGCCGAAGGCGGGGCCGGUAACUGGGGUGAAGUCGUAACAAGGUAAC